AUUGAACGCUGGCGGCAGGCCUAACACAUGCAAGUCGAGCGGAUGAAGGGAGCUUGCUUCUGGAUUCAGCGGCGGACGGGUGAGUAAUGCCUAGGAAUCUGCCUGGUAGUGGGGGAUAACGUUCGGAAACGGGCGCUAGUACCGCAUACGUCCUGGGGGAGAAAGCGGGGGAUCUUCGGCCCUCACGCUAUCAGAUGAGCCUAGGUCGGAUUAGCUAGUUGGUGGGGUAAAGGCCUACCAAGGCGACGAUCCGUAACUGGUCUGAGAGGAUGAUCAGUCACACUGUAACUGAGACACGGUCCAGACUCCUACGGGAAGCAGCAGUGGGGAAUAUUGGACAAUAGGCGAAAGCCUGAUCCAGCCAUGCCGCGUGUGUGAAGAAGGUCUUCGGAUUGUAAAGCACUUUAAGUUGGGAGGAAGAGCAGUAAGUUAAUACCUUGCUGUUUUGACGUUACCAACAGAAUAAGCACCGGCUAACUUCGUG
rnacentral:rRNA from 1 species